UACGGGGGGGGCAAGCGUUGUUCGGAAUUACUGGGCGUAAAGGGCUCGUAGGCGGCCAACUAAGUCAGACGUGAAAUCCCUCGGCUUAACCGGGGAACUGCGUCUGAUACUGGAUGGCUUGAAUCCGGGAGAGGGAUGCAGAAUUCCAGGUGUAGCGGUGAAAUGCGUAGAUAUCGUAAGGAAGACCAGUGGCGAAGGCGGGUCUCUGGACAGUUCCUGACGCUGAGGCACGAAGGCCAGGGGAGCAAACGGG
rnacentral:rRNA from 1 species